GUUGAAGCAAGAAGAGGUUGGGGCGACGGAAAACCAAAGGAAGUCGGCCAAGCCAUACGAAUUAUGCCUCCCUUCUUCUCCAAAAUCUCCGAGGAUCGAGGAUCAAGAGGCAAAGUAAGAACGAGCACCCUGACUGAUGCCAUGAUUGUUGUCCAAUGUGUUUGAACCUAGAAAAGAAACAAUAAAAAGAGGAGGAUGAAGAAGAGGAUGACCAAAAGGCUGAAAAAGAGGAGGAUGACCAAAGAGCAUGGCUUUGUUGGAACAGGACGAACCAGAGACAAAGAACACAAAGAACUUAGCUUUAGCAAGCACGUAAGAUAUUGAUGAAGAAUAACUUCCUCCGAUCGACAUCUUCAAGUGUUUGUUUAGUCUUGUUAUAUAGAUAUGAUGUCAUUUGACGUUUUCCUUGUAUAGCCGCAAUAUGAAGAGGAG